GGGGUUGUAGCUCAGUGGUAGAGCGCUCGCCUUGCAUGUGCGAGACCCUGGGUGAUUCGAUCCUCAGCACCACA
rnacentral:tRNA from 1 species